GUAGUCCACGCCCUAAACGAUGAUCACUGGGUGUUCGGGGAGCGAUCUCUGAGUACCGUAGCUAACGCGUGAAGUGAUCCGCCUGGGGAGUACGGUCGCAAGAUUAAAACUCAAAGGAAUUGACGGGGACCCGCACAAGCGGUGGAUGAUGUGGAUUAAUUCGAUGCAACGCGAACAACCUUACCUACCCUUGACAUGUCUGGAAGGCCGCCGAGAGGUGGUUGUGCCCGAAAGGGAACCGGAACACAGGUGCUGCAUGGCUGUCGUCAGCUCGUGUCGUGAGAUGUUGGGUUAAGUCCCGCAACGAGCGCAACCCUUGUCCCUAGUUGCUACGCAAGGGCACUCUAGGGAGACUGCCGGUGACAAACCGGA
rnacentral:rRNA from 1 species